rnacentral:rRNA from 1 species
AACGAACGCUGGCGGCAUGCCUAACACAUGCAAGUCGAACGAGACCUUCGGGUCUAGUGGCGCACGGGUGCGUAACGCGUGGGAACCUGCCCUUAGGUUCGGAAUAACUCCCCGAAAGGGGUGCUAAUACCGGAUAAUGUCUUCGGACCAAAGAUUUAUCGCCUUUGGAUGGGCCCGCGUUGGAUUAGCUAGUUGGUAGGGUAAAAGCCUACCAAGGCGACGAUCCAUAGCUGGUCUGGGAGGAUGAUCAGCCACACUGGGACUGAGACACGGCCCAGACUCCUACGGGAGGCAGCGGUGGGGAAUAUUGGACAAUGGGCGAAAGCCUGAUCCAGCAAUGCCGCGUGAGUGAUGAAGGCCUUAGGGUUGUAAAGCUCUUUUACCCGGGAUGAUAAUGACAGUACCGGGAGAAUAAGCGCCGGCUAACUCCGUG